GCGGAAACCACGUAGGAUGGGAGUUUGUCUCACAGUGUGAAGAUUCAACUCUAGUGCGUUUUACUCCUCCAAUUUAAAUGCUGGUGCUUUCAAGAACCACUGACAGCAGGACGCGAGCUCAGACAUGGAAAUUGAUUUUCCGAGGGAUUGAUUCCACCCCGGAUCUUGUGCUGAUCUACAGAGAAAAAAAGCCCUUGCCAGCAGCUGGGAGCCGUCAAGGGAAGCCACCCCAAGCAAAAUGUUAUUCCAGCUUGUUAGUGUUUGAAGUCACAGCAAGCUGGGCUGCAGAAGCUGCCGCCUGUGGUUUAUGGCUUGUGGGGUUGCUCAAGAUAUGGAGUCUCACUUUCCAAGUCAGGAUGUCUCACCGCCAUUGAAGGCACAACUGUAGCUGUGAGAUAACGCAGGCACGUUAAGAGGAAAGGACUUCAGAGCACACAUGUGGUCUCGACUCAGUGAGUGACAACACUACAGUGUGUGCGUGUGUGGGUGUGACUCAGCUUGUGUUUUUUCCAAAUCCAUGCAGCGCUGCAACCACUUGCUGAAACACUAUUGCUUCCUCUUCUUUCUAUUUUCAGAUACUUGCUUCAACCCAAACAUGUCCUGCUUUUUAAUGAGUUUAGAUUACUUUCAUUGUGACCAUUAGUUAAUUAGGGAAUCCUGACAAACUCCGUACUCAGACAAACAAUUGAAUCAAUAUAAAAUAGAAUUGGAUAUGCAAUUGUGUAACAGAUGAAGGAAUUUUCUACUUCAAGGCCCCUAAUAGCGCCUUUGAUUUCUGAAAUUCAAUAAUGUCGCAAAUAUCUUGGUUUAGAUCAGUGUUUCAGUGAUUAAAAUGGUUGUAUUUCAACCCCGAUAGGUCAAAGGUUGUCAGUGUCCCCACUGAUAUUUUUCUAUAAUCCCUCAUAUCUCCUCCCAGUCACAGCGAGGACCCUCAAACAACUCCUGCUGAACAUUUUACAACUGGCACACAUUAACAAGACAGUAUGAGUGAAAAUAUUAAUUUAAGUACAAAGACAAUCAGUGGUGAAACUGUUCAGGGGUUUUAUUUGAGAAACAGAUCAUGUGAUCUUUAUGUGGAAUAUGCAAAGUAAAAUGUAUAGCUGUCACAUAAAUGCCGUGGAAUAAAAAGUACAAUAUACAAUUGUGUUAUACAAAAUAGAAAUUAAGUCAAGUACAAAUUGUACUUCAGUACAGUACAUACAUAUUUCUUUUACAUUACUGUUGAAAUAUACAUUUGGAAACCAAUGUCUCUAAAUGUUAUGUUUUUCUUUUUCUUCAGUUUUGAUUUUGGGCUGCAACUACAAUUUCCUUUUGUCUAAAAAAUGCAAGAAAAUAAAAAUAAACAAAUAAAUGUUGUUUUAUCCAGCCAA